rnacentral:rRNA from 1 species
CGGACCGGCGCACGGUGAGUAACGCGUAUGCAACUUACCUAUCAGGAGGGGAUAACCCGGCGAAAGUCGGACUAAUACCGCAUGAAGCAGGGGCCCCGCAUGGGGAUAUUUGCUAAAGAUUCAUCGCUGAUAGAUAGGCAUGCGUUCCAUUAGGCAGUUGGCGGGGUAACGGCCCACCAAACCGACGAUGGAUAGGGGUUCUGAGAGGAAGGUCCCCCACAUUGGUACUGAGACACGAACCAA